AGCUUUGCGCAGUGGCAGUAUCGUAGCCAAUGAGGUUUAUCCGAGGCGCGAUUAUUGCUAAUUGAAGACACGGGAUGAGAUGAGUUAAGGCUGGAGAUCCUGGCUGCAUUCUCCCUUCCUGCCUUCUUGCACUCCCUCUGUUCCAUAGAAAUGAAGGUUUAAAUUAAAAAUUGUAUUCUCCAGGUAGAGUUUUUGUAUAAUCAAUAAAGCAGAU
rnacentral:snRNA from 11 species